CUUCACCGAACCCAGCAGCAAGGGCGUCUCACGGUCCUGGCCGUAGGUCGCCAGGAGUGCCUGUGCCUC
rfam:Streptomyces luteus strain TRM 45540 genomic scaffold Scaffold7, whole genome shotgun sequence.